GGGACUGUGGCUCAGUGGUAGAGCACUUGCCUAGCAUGCAUGAAGCCCUGGGUUCGAUUCCUCAGUACCA
rnacentral:tRNA from 1 species